AUUUCGUGGUGGAUUGUAUGUUCUCCAUCUCAGUGUGACUGUGAGAGACGAUGGAGAUUCUUCUGGCAUGAAGUUCAUGGCUACAGUUCCCAUCAUUUCUGCUGCUGCUUCACUCAUCAGUGUGGCUGUGAUAACCUGUGGUUACAGCCUGAGGAGAAAUCCUCGCAGAGAAAACAGAUCAGGUCUAACUAACUUAACAGGAUCUGAAACUCGCCAGAUGUUUGACAAAGAGGACCGCUACAUGAGCC